AUCCGGUGACGGAUGGGCAUGCGUGACAUUAGCUAGUCGGCGGGGUAACGGCCCACCGAGGCGACGAUGUCUAGGGGUUCUGAGAGGAAGGUCCCCCACACUGGUACUGAGACACGGACCAGACUCCUACGGGAGGCAGCAGUGAGGAAUAUUGGUCAAUGGGCUUACGCCUGAACCAGCCAAGUCGCGUGAGGGAAGACUGCCCUAUGGGUUGUAAACCUCUUUUGUCAGGGAGCAACGCCGGCUACGUGUAGCCGGACUGAGAGUACCUGAAGAAAAAGCAUCGGCUAACUCCGUGCCAGCAGCCGCGGUAAUACGGAGGAUGCGAGCGUUAUCCGGAUUUAUUGGGUUUAAAGGGUGCGUAGGCGGAAUGCCAAGUCAGCGGUAAAAUCGCGGGGCUCAACCUCGCUCCGCCGUUGAAACUGGCGUUCUUGAGUGGGCGAGAAGUAUGCGGAAUGCGUGGUGUAGCGGUGAAAUGCAUAGAUAUCACGCAGAACUCCGAUUGCGAAGGCAGCAUACCGGCGCCCAACUGACGCUGAAGCACGAAAGCGUGGGUAUCGAACAGGAUUAGAUACCCUGGUAGUCCACGCAGUAAACGAUGAAUACUAGCUGUUCGGGGCAAUUGGGCCUUGAGUGGC
rnacentral:rRNA from 1 species